CUUUGCCAAAUGGAAUGUGGGGAGAGAUUCCCAAAGGAAAGAUUAUAACUAAGAAAAUGUCCUAUGUCUCCUAAAGGAAAGUAUGAACUGGUGUUUCAGUCAUAUCGAUCAAUGGGUGAGUCCUUAAGACAAAAAUUUUUAUCUCAUUGAUUCAAUGACAACAGAAUAAAUACAAAGACACUUGACCUUACCAGCAAGCAGUAACACUGUAAAAUAUAUUUUGUUAUUUCUCUUUGAAGCCACAGAAGAGAUAGCAGGGUGUUGGGAACCAGGAAGAAGGUCAAAGAAUCAGAAGAAAAUACCCAAGGUUCAAGCCGUGUUUCCAGGGGUCAGGAGGAAUUCCAUCUUCUAAGAUGGGAACCUGAAGAGAGAACCAUGGAGAAUCUCUCGAAGCCAUUCCAGUUUAUACGGAGGGGAAGCGAGCUUUAGGUAAUCAUCGUCCCUGGAUAAAAUCUGGAAUUACUGUCUCUUCAGGCUAUUUGCCAGA
rnacentral:lncRNA from 1 species